rnacentral:ncRNA from 1 species
AAAAAGUUUUAUUAUUAUUUUAAGGGGUUAAAUUAAAUUUAAUAUUUACAUGUAAAUAUUAGUGGGAGAUAUAAAGAUUAAUAUUUAAAUAAUGUGAUAAUUAGGGGUUAUUCGCAGUAGAAAAUUUUAAAUAUUAAUGAAAGUUAGAUUUGGGGAAGAUUUUUAGUAUUAACAAAAUUUGUGCCAGCAGUUGCGGUUAUACAAAUAAUACAAUUUAAUUAGUUUUAGUAUUAAUAUGUAGGAAAUAAUAAAUUUUAAGGGAGAAUUUAUUAGGUGGAAUUAUAAAUUUUGAGGGGGUUUAUUUUUGAUUAUUAGUUAAGAAAUUUAUUGAUAAACUAGGAUUAGAUACCCUAUUAUUGUAAAUGUAAAAUUAUGCUAGAUUAGUAUUAGUUAAGUUCUUGAAAAUUGAAGAUUUUGGCGGUUUUUUAGUCUGUUCAGAGGAACCUGUCCUGUAAUCGAUAGUCCACGAUUUGAAAGACUUUUUUUAUUAGUUUGUAUAUCGUCGUAGAUUAGAAUAUUCUAAAAGGAGAUAAAUUUUCAAGAAUUAUUUUUUAAUUUAAAUCAGAUCAAGGUAUAGCUUAUAAAAAAGAAGAGAUGGGUUACAUUAAUUUUAAUUUUGGAUUAUUUUUUUAAAAUAAAUAUGAAUUUGGAUUUGAAUGUAAUUUUAUUGGGAUAAAUAAAAUGAUUGGAGCUCUAAAAUAUGUACAUAUCGCCCGUCGCUUUCAUUUUAAGGUGAAAUAAGUCGUAACAAAGUAGGUUUACUGGAAAGUGGGUCUAGAAAG